CCAGUCAAGGAAGACAAACUAGUGACAUACAUCCUGGCAGGGCUCGAUAGUGUAUACGAUCCGCUUGUUUCAUCGAUUACGAUGCAGGCGGACACACUUGAGCAUGAUGACCUCAAUGCUCACAUGCUGAGCUCUAAAG